UACGUAGGGCGCAAGCGUUAUCCGGAAUUAUUGGGCGUAAAGAGCUCGUAGGCGGUUUGUCGCGUCUGCCGUGAAGGUCCGGGGCUCAACUCCGGAUCUGCGGUGGGUACGGGCAGACUAGAGUGAUGUAGGGGAGACUGGAAUUCCUGGUGUAGCGGUGAAAUGCGCAGAUAUCAGGAGGAACACCGAUGGCGAAGGCAGGUCUCUGGGCAUUAACUGACGCUGAGGAGCGAAAGCAUGGGGAGCGAACAGGAUUAGAAC
rnacentral:rRNA from 1 species